GCGUUGGUGGUUUAGUGGUAAAAUUCAUCGUUGCCAUAAAAAGUUGUAUCUCCCCAGGAGCAUCCCCCCUCAGGGCGGGACUCCCUGGAGCUCAACACCAUGUUUCGAUGAGCCCCGGGUUCGAUUCCCGGCCGACGCA
rnacentral:tRNA from 1 species